GACGAACGCUGGCGGCGUGCUUAACACAUGCAAGUCGAACGAUGAAGCCGGAGCUUGCUCUGGUGAAUUAGUGGCGAACGGGUGAGUAACACGUGAGUAACCUGCCCUUGACUCUGGGAUAACUGCGGGAAACUGUAGCUAAUACCGGAUACGACCCUCGGAGGCAUCGCCAGGGGGUGGAAAGAAUUUCGGUCAAGGAUGGACUCGCGGCCUAUCAGCUAGUUGGUGAGGUAACGGCUCACUAAGGCGACGACGGGUAGCCGGCCGGAGAGGGUGACCGGCCACACUGGGACUGGGACACGGCCCAGACUACUACGAGAGGCAGCAGUGGGGAAUAUUGCACAAUGGGCGCACGCCUGAUGCCGCAACGCCGCGUGAGGGAUGACGGCCUUCGGGUUGUAAACCUCUUUUAGUAGGGAAGAAGCGAAAGUGACGGUACCUGCAGAAAAUGCACCGGCCAACUACGUGCCAGCAGCCGCAGUAA
rnacentral:rRNA from 1 species